rnacentral:rRNA from 1 species
AAUCAACGCUGGCGGCGUGCCUAACACAUGCAAGUCGAACGAGAAAGUGGAGCAAUCCAUGAGUAAAGUGGCGACCGGGUGAGUAACACGUGACUAACCUGCCCUAGAGUGGGGGAUAACCUCGGGAAACCGGGGCUAAUACCGCAUAACAUCACGAGGGGAAGAUCCUUGUGAUCAAAGGAGCAAUUCGCUCAAGGAGGGGGUCGCGGCUGAUUAGCCAGUUGGCGGGGUAACGGCCCACCAAAGCAAAGAUCAGUAGCCGGCCUGAGAGGGCGAACGCCCACACUGGAACUGAAACACGGUCCAGACUCCUACGGGCGGCAGCAGUGGGGAAUUUUGCGCAAUGGGGGAAACCCUGACGCAGCAACGCCGCGUGGAGGAUGAAGUCCCUUGGGAUGUAAACUCCUGUCGAUCGGGACGAUAAUGACGGUACCGGAAGAAGAAGCACCGGCUAACUCUGUGCCAGCCGCCGCCGUAAUAC